rnacentral:misc_RNA from 1 species
UCACCCCUCAAGCUCAGCUUGGUGUUGGGGCCUGCCCGUCACAGGGCAGCCCCUAAAAUCAGUGGCGGCGCCAUCUGGCUCUACGCGUAGUAAUACUCCUCGCGACAGAGUCCCGGUGGUGUCCUGCCAGAACCCCCCAUCUUUUUUAAU